rnacentral:ncRNA from 1 species
UUAAAGAUGUUGAUAAGGAAGAGUAUAUAGAAGUGUACUUUUUAGAGAGCUAGAGAUUGGUGAAAAUCUAGUAAGUAAGUUUUAUAGAAGCAGCCUUUGAAUUUUAUAGCUGAAAAAUAAAGAUUAUAAUGUAAAAUUUUAAACAAUUAGUUGUUUGAAAUGGUAAUUUUUAAUUAGGUUAUAACGUAAUCCUCACGUUAUAGAGGUGGAGUAUAUAAUUAUAUAUUCUAGCUGAGUGAACAAUAUUUAUAUUGUUUAUUAGGGUGGUACCGCGAAGUAGUUCCUUCGUCCCUUGU